AGAUUUCAUUGAUAAGAAUGGGAAGAGAGCUUUCCCUUUACAGAAUCCAUGACGGGCUUCCAAAAACAAAGAACAACAAGAAUAUUGGUUAGUAUGCCCAUGCCAAGCAGGGUAUACUUUCCCAAUACACCCAUUCACAGUCAUGGAUCAAAAAACUAAAAACCAGAACCUAUCAGAAUUCACACAAAAUACACAAGAUAUUCCUACUCAAACCAGUACUAGGGAGGCUAGAAAUAUGAUUCAGGAACUAGAACAAAUUUGAUACUUUAAGCCAUUAAACCAACCAUCAUAAAGCUUCCUCUUAUGAGGCCACAAAUCCUCAUUGCAGUGGAAAGAAAAGUCAGCCUCAUCCAGGCCCCACCUCACGGUCAGUAGCACAUCUCACCCCCAGAAACGUCCACUAAUUCUUCACCGAUGAGAAGCACAGGGAGACCCCUACCCGGAAGGAGAACCAAAACUUACCGGAGUUGGUAUAUUUCGACAAGGUCAAUUUCUCUGCCCACUCCGUCCUUAGCAAGGAGAUCAGCUUCCUUAUUUCCUUCCCUCAGCGUAUGUCUUA
rnacentral:lncRNA from 1 species